UUCAGUACCCUGCACCCGUAACCACUGUAAAAGAACAACAUGCCAAUAGUUCCCUAAUGUUGUAAAAGGCACUGUUUUAAACGCAUCUGUUAUAUCAACUCACUCACUCCUCCAAACAAGCACGAUAGAGAUUACUAUUACCCUUGUUUAAUAGAUUAGGAAACUGAAGCACAGAAAGGUCAUGUAAUGUUCCCCAGGUCACCCAGCUAGUAAGUGAGCUGGACAGGGCAUCUGUUUUACCGAGGAAGACAUUCCUCAGUUUUUGUUUUGUUUUGUUUUUCACUUGAAAUCCCCUGCGAUGGCCCAGAGCGGAAUGCCAGCGUCCUGAGAAUAAAGCCUCUGAGCUGACCUGGGAAGGGGUGCCAGUGGCGGCUGUGUCCCCUACAGCUCUGGAAGGUGGAGGCGGUGGAGAGAGCGACUACACAGCAGCCACAAGCCUGGGUCCCUGCCAGGGGAGACCUCAAAGUCCUCUCGAGGGUUGGCUUCCCUGUGCUGGGCCGUGCACAAAGGCGAGUGGUGGCUUCCAGGACAGCAGCAGGACGUGGUCCUCGGGAGAGGAGAAAGCCCCGGGGAAGGGCUGAUGGGACCUCAGCCCGCAGCUCUGAGAAGGGCUGCUCUGUAGGAGGGGGGAUGCAGAGAAUCUUCCAUAAAACUGGCAGACUCCUCCUGAUCUCCACCCGUGCCGUCUGCCUCUCUAGUUCCGGACACAGAGCUGGUGCCCUGCGGCCAUCUCAAGCAGGAACCCUGCAAGGUCACCAGGAAGACUGCGUGCCUCGCUCUAGCCUCCUCCUAAGGGAAAGCAGACUCCUGUUUUUGAGAGAAAUUACCUGAUUUCGAGAGAAACAUAAAGGACUUCUUUUCUCCUUAAGGUAACAUUCCACUUGUAAAAAUGAAGUUUGGAAGAAUUUCUGCAAACUCAGUGUUUUGGUCAGUUGAUCUUUUACUGUACCAGGUGAAUCUGAGGCCACAAAUACACUGGGGAGGAAGAUAUGCCCUUCACAAGGGAUUUGCACUUAGCCAGACACUCUGUUGCUGUGCUUCUUUAAAUAAAGAACAUUUCUGUAUAUUUUGUUAAUUUAUUUUUAUUUUUUAGAGUCGGGGUCUUGCUCUGUUGCCCAGGCUAGAAUGCAGUGAUAUGAUCAGAGCUUAUGACAGCCUUGAACUCCUGGGCUCAAGUAAUCCGCCUGCCUCAGCCUCACGAUUCAUUGGGAUUACAAGUGUGAGCCACCGUGCCCAGCUCUUUGCCUGGUAUAUUUUAAAUUGUUUCAUGGCCGGGCGCGGUGGCUCAAGCCUGUAAUCCCAGCACUUUGGGAGGCCGAGACGGGCGGAUCACUAGGUCAGAAGAUCGAGACCAUCCUGGCGAACACGGUGAAACCCCGUCUCUACUAAAAAAUACAAAAAACUAGCCGGGCGAGGCGGCGGGCGCCUGUAGUCCCAGCUACUCGGGAGGCUGAGGCAGGAGAAUGGCGUAAACCCGGGGGGCGGAGCUUGCAGUGAGCUGAGAUCCGGCCACUGCACUCCAGCCUGGGCUACAGAGCCAGACUCCGUCUCAAAAAAAAAAAAAAAAAAAAAAUUGUUUCAUUUCCUUGAAAGUGAGAUUUAUCUAUUAUAUUCAGAAAAUCUGGCAAGAUACAUCUGAUUGCUUGAGAUUCCUAAAAAUCAUGUUACAUUAACACUGAAAGGGACAUUUGAGUCUCACGUUCUCACUUUAAAGAUGAAGAAACUGUGGCCUGGAGAGGUUACGUGACUUGUUUUCGUCCCAUAGUCUUGUGUGUGUGUGUAGCAGGCUGCCCAGUUUCCAGCUUUCCCCCUUUGCUGUGCACCUUCCUUGCAUCCGAGGUAUACAGGGAAGCUGGCCCUCCCAGUCAGGCCUCUCUACCUGGCCCUCACCUGCCGUCACUGAUGUUUAAUCAUUGAUCCCUCUUUUGGAUUUCAUUGUUAUUGUUUUUUCCUUUUAUUAUGGAAAUGUUUCAAACAUAAAAGUAGGAGACAUAAGUAACUACCACGCUCCCUCACCCAGCUUCUACAAUUAUUAGCACGUGGCCAAUCUGUUUUUCUCUACACCUGACCCCAGUUCCCUCUCCCACCCAGAUGACUUGAAGGCAAAUCCAAACAUGAUGUCAUUUCAUCUGUGGCUGCUCCGUGUGUAACAGCGUGUGAAGCCUCUCCCACAUACAUGUAUGUCCACAGUGCAACGUCACAACUAAAAAGAGUGAACAGUAGUUCCUUAACUUCACCAAAUUUCACUGAUUGUCUUUCUUACUGCGUCUCUCUCUCUCUCUUUGCAACUGGUUUAUUAGAAUCAAGACUAUCGGGUAGAAUUAUGAGCUGAUCAUUCAGGGUCCUUGCAUUAGAAUUUUGCUGAAU
ensembl:lncRNA